UGAGAAGGAGCCGUCCUCCAGCCCCAGGA
rnacentral:piRNA from 1 species